AGGACCAAGGUUCCGGUGACAAAUCCACUCCUCCCUCCGCUUCGGACCACCUCGCCCCCGCCGUUAACGGCCACAAGACCUCCAUCGAUCUCAACCUAGUCCCAAUCGACAAAAACAACAAGCCUCAACCACCUUCCCCACUGCCUCCACAAAAACCGCUAACCAUCACCGACUUGUCCCCGGCUCCGAUGCAUGGCUCUCAGCUGCGCGUAGCCUACCAGGGAGUACCUGGCGCGUACUCCGAAGCUGCUGCGGGAAAGGCU
rnacentral:lncRNA from 1 species